rnacentral:lncRNA from 1 species
AAAAGCUUCUGGGAAGAUCUAAGCAUAAGGGUUACUUCCAGCAAACAUUUAUUUAUUUGAAGUUAAGGACUGGAGCAUCUCUGCUGUGAGGAAAGGCUGAGAGGUUGGAUUGUUUAAUCUGGAGAAGAGAAGGCUUGAGAAGAUAUUAAUACCUGAAGGGAGAGUGCAAAGAGGAUGGAGCCAUGUUCUUUUCAGUAAUAUCCAGUGAAGAGCAAGAGCAUGAACUGAAACAGGAGACUCCAUCUGAGCAUAGUUCUUAGUUGACUAAGAAAUCUGACACUGAAGAAAUCUG